rnacentral:rRNA from 1 species
AGCUCUGAUAGCGUAUAUUAAAGUUGUUGCAGUUAAAAAGCUCGUAGUUGGAUUUUAGAAUUUUAUAAAUAUGGUCGGUUAUGAUAAAUAAUCUUGUACUAUAUUUAUGAUUCUUUCCUACUGGUUACUCGACUCUGUCCUUUACUGGAUGGAGUAGUGUUGCAAAACAUCAUUUAUUAUUAUAUUGCUUUUAAAUGUAAUAAUUGGGUAAAACUGGUUAUGAAAUUUAAGAGAUCACAGUCUAAUAAUAAAUGGGGUUCCAGUUCAUUUACUUUGAGUAAAUUAGAGUGUUCAAAGCAGCCUCUUGGGGCAUUGAAUAGAUUAGCAUGGGAUAAUAGAAUAGGACUCUUGUCUAUUUAUUGGUUUAUAGAGAUAGAGUAAUGAUUAAUAGGGAUAGUUGGGGGCACUUGUAUUCAAUAGUCAGAGGUGAAAUUCUAGGAUUUAUUGAAGACAAACUUCAGCGAAAGCAUUUGCCAAGGAUGUUUUCA